CUGGGAGACAAGGAGGAUUCUGGGAAAUGUAGGCAGAGCCAGAUACCAUGUAGGCAGUUGAGAUGUAGCACGCAGAGGAGUAACAGGUCCCUGGACUCUUUCUCCGAGCCAGCCAAGAAGGACAUGUCUCCUAAGAGACACAAAUCCUACUUUUAUUGGGCAAAGUCUGUGCCCAGUGACCUGAGGAGACAGUGAAGAGUCUCCAAAUCCACCCCUUCCCCCAGAAAGAGGGACUAAGGAAGGACUUUGGCAUCACCUGGCUUCUGGUAGGAGCGUAACACUGACCGAUUUCCGUCUCUGUCUUCAGCCUUCUCUCUGCCCUCCCCACAUCUUAGGGGAAUCACCAGUCCUACUGAGAGCCAUCUGAAAUCUAAGCUUUCAUUCCAAGCCUAGCUGCCCUGGACUGAAAUCUCACGUUCCUUCAACAUCUGCAUGCUGAAAACCAAAUCCCAGCUCGAUACUAUUAGGCGAUGGGAGAGCUUGGGAGGUGACUAAGUCAUGGGAGCGGACUCUCAUAGAUGAGAUUGGUAUCCCCCUAGGAGCCCCAGUAAGUCCCUUCCACCUUGUGCAAACUUAGCUCAAAAUACACCAUCUACCAGCCAUAGACUGAGCCUCACUAGACACCAACUCAGCCAGUGCUGGGCUCUGAUCGCCAACUUUUCCAGUCUCCAGAAUUGUCAGAGAUUACUUUUUAUGAGCCGCUCGAUUUAUGGUUAUUUUCAGACAGUAGCCCAAUUACACCAAGUCAGCCCUAUAUCCAAGCAUCUGAGCCUUAAAUCAAAAGCAAAUAUUGGGUGGGUGGGGGAGCCGUUCAACUGAUGACAAAUUUUAAAAUGAGGAAGUAAGGUAGACUGUCCAGGGAAGGGAUCACUAAAGAAUCCCUGUCUAUACAAACUUCACCAGAAAGCUUCUGGAGCUCUGAGUAAAUACCACAACAGGUCUAAGCUGCCUGAGAGAGAGAGUCCCUGAGAGAGGUAAAAGAGACAGAGACUCCACAUAAAGGGGGUGCUGUA